GCUGAAAAGCUACGUUCACAAGCAGCUGUGCUUAUAGGUAGGGCAACUGUAAUUCUGCACAGUCUGAAGAGUUCAAAAAAGACUUCACUGAAUGCUUCCAAGAAAACUGUGAACUCAAGCAAACUGGUGAGAUCCUUCAUUCCAGUUGCCUUCUUUCUAUCCAAGAUCCGUUUGGCUUGAUGUAGCUCGUGCUUAACAUCAUCCAGGUUUGUAUUAUAAAUACUUUCCAAACACAACAGAGGAGUCUCCUUCAAAAAGCUGUUGCUUUUGGGGUUGACAGCUUGAAUCCUCUUCAUGAUGUCACAGUUUGUUUUGGAAAAACGCUUCUCUAGCGCAGCCUUCACAGUGUCUAAGAUAGGAUAAAACAGUCUGACAGAAAGAGUCUUUAUCUCUGUUUCUCUGACCAACUGUGGACGUAACAACAGAUUCAUGAAGAGCAGAGCUGAUCUUCGGCGACCCUAGACAGCCGGGUCAUAAUGUUUUUUGAGCAACACACUCAUACUAUGACAUUUUGACAAUGAUGGUUCUACUAUGGAACCAGUUUGACAUGUUCAGGUGUUCUUUGUGUGAAAACUCAGAGAUUUCAGGGAUCAGAAGGUGGUUUUCAACUUUCUUUGUUAACUUUCUGCUUCAACUUUAAACUAAAUUUCCUUCACUAAGCCAGCCCUCUGGACUUCCAGGAAGCUGUGUUCCUAUUGGCUGUCCAGGUGGCUGCUUGGUGGUAUCAGGAACACCUGAGCAGCUUGGUGGUAUCAGGAACACCUGAGCAGCUCAGUGUCUUCCUGCUUUAUUUAGCUGCAGACAAACAUUUCCUCUGUUUCUCUUCACCAGUGAACUGGGUUUGGUUCCGUUGCUUCAGUUUGUUCUUUAGGCGUUGGCUUGCAGCUUCCAGCAGUAAAAUCAUGUUUAAUGUGUUUCUUGGUGUGUUUUAGGGCUUUGUACUGGAUAGUUGUCUUGGUAAAUGUGGUUCUUUAGCCACAGUUAGCACAUGGUACUAAUGUGUGCAGUGAUUAGUGGAUUUGGUCCAGCUGAGUUGUGUCUGUAUCUUGGCUGUAGUGAGUCUUCAGAGGUUUUUGGUCAGACACAUUCUGUAUUCUUGUUUGAGAACCAACGUUGGUUGUCCAGAAGGUAAGAGUUCCUGUCCUGAUUCUCUGUUCUCAGAGGUUCUCUGGUAGGCUGCAGGAGACUUUAGCGUUUGGGUUGUGCUAGUUUGGUUUUUGUAUGGUUUCAUUUGGACGACUAUCUUGAGGCCCCUCCAUGUGGUUUAGUGAGGUUUUCUGGAACAGUUCUACAAAGCAACCUGCAGCAGAAGAGACUUUGAGAGUUUUUAGGAAGUUCUGGAGAGCAGACUUUAGAGCAGCAGAAACAUUUGUCAGCAGUUUGAGCAGGAGAAGGUGAGCUUCAGAGUAGAAAUGAGACAGAAACCGUCUUGACCCGUGUGGUGAGGUCCUGUACCAAGAGUUUGAGCAGGUUGUGAAGAGUCUGUAGUUCUUUGGUCUGAAAGCACAAGAAGAGUCGACUCAUUAAAGGAGAAAACAGGAGAUAUUGUUGGUUCUUCUGUCACUCUGCAGUUUCCUUAGACUGAAUAUCAAGUUUAUAUUUUAAAUGAUUUACCAUGUGAGCCCAAGAAGACUUCAAUAAACUCCCUCCAUCCCCUGGACACAACACAUUUUAUUACCAUGUUAAUUUUUUUUUUUUUAAAUAUGUUUUUGAGUUUUAAUCAUAGUUUUAGCAUAGUUUUUUCUCUUUGCUUGUUUAGUUUGUCAUCUGUGUAAAAGGUGCUAAACAAAUAAAGUUGAAUUGAUAAACUGAAUAAUUGAUUAACUCAUGAUUGUGACAACAGAAGUAUUUUCAUUGUGAUUUAAGGGUUUGUUUCAUUUUUAAGGUUGGGGUUAAAAUCUUGACAGAAAAAGACGAUUAAAGAAAUAAACUACAUAACAAAGAGC
ensembl:lncRNA